AUGAAUUGAUAGGACGCUCUUUUUAGAGGUCCGACCCCUUCAUUUCCUUACACUGUGCACACACUUCUUUUUCACACACUUUUAACACAUCAGUUUAAAGAAUGUAAAUAGUCUCUUAAUUGAGCAUAAAAUAAAUA
rnacentral:misc_RNA from 1 species